CCUACGGGUGGCAGCAGUGGGGAAUAUUGCACAAUGGGGGAAACCCUGAUGCAGCGACGCCGCGUGAGCGAUGAAGUAUUUCGGUAUGUAAAGCUCUAUCAGCAGGGAAGAAAAUGACGGUACCCGACUAAGACGCCCCGUCUAACUACGUUCCAGCAGCCGCGGUACUACGGAGGGGGCCAGCGUGAUCCGGAUUUACUGGGCGUAAGGGGAGUGUAGACGGCUGUGCAAGCCAGAUGUGAAAGCCCGGGGCUCAACCCCGGGACUGCAUUUGAAACUGUGUGGCUGGAGUGUCGGAGAGGCAGGCGGAAUGCCUAGUGUAGCGGUGAAAUGCGUAGAGAUUAGGAAGAACACCGGUGGCGAAGGCGGCCUGCUGGACGAUGACUGACGCUGAGGCACGAAAGCGUGGGUAUCGAACAGGAUUAGAUACCCUGGUAGUC
rnacentral:rRNA from 1 species